UCAUGUUUUAACAAAACAAAAUUAUUUUUAUAAACUCUAUUUCAGUUUUUCCUUCUCAUAUGGUCCUAUAAUAAACCAUCCCCCUUUAUCUUCUUAUUUUAAAAUAAAACCCUAACCCCUUCUAGGCUUCCUCUAUCUCUCCCUGGCCCAUCCCCCCUCUUCCUUCCCCUUUUCCUUUCCCGGUGGUCCAAGCCAACACCACAGCAGCCCAUCUCCACCUUGGCCUGCUUACCCUUUCGAUGAAAAGGGCAGCCUCCUUUCUUUCUUGUCGUCUUUCUCCCUUCACGAGAGAAAGCGUGAGCCCCCCUCUCAUGUCGUUGUCCACCAGGGCACCGCACCACCACCCCUCACCUGCUCCCUCCCCCUCCUUUAUCUUUCAGCGCCAAAACCCUAGCCUCUCUUCCCCUCCACGCCGCCGCCACAUACAUCGCUCCAUCUUUUCUCUAUUCUCUGUGAGCAAACGAAGAGAAAGAAAACCCCACUGCCACCAUCCUCUUCACCAUGGCGCCGCCGCUCCACACCUCCCCUCGCCGAGCUGAGACCACCAGAAGAUCCGCACCGUCGCCAUCUUCAUCCCCUCCAAAGGAAUCGAGCCGGGGCUCGCUUAAUCAACGUCAAAAUCGCCGAUUCCCUCUCCAACUCCGGCAAGAAAGUCCUCAAUUCCGGCCGCCUCCGACCUCCACCGACCCUUCCGAGCACGUCCACACAUUCCAGGUGACCGUGCGCAUCCCCGACACCAAUCGCCUCGUCCCGGUUUGCUCCGAGUCGCCGGAUCCAUGAAUGACCAGAGCUCCUCCGCCAUGGGCUUCAUCCUCGUGUUCCGUGAGUCUCCUUCAGGUUGCUGGGCGCCCAUCUCAUGACACCAUCCACGCAGCAGCCCGACUGAUCUCGCAGACACAAAAGGAUAUUAACAGUGGAGCCUUUCCAAUUCCAUCAACAACAUCUAGCCCAGCUGAUAUGUUGGAUUUUUUGUUGAUGGGCCUCAGCCCAGAUCCGUCGAUGCAUCCCAACGCCUGCGUGUUCAGAUCAGAUCCGGCCCAGAACAUCGCAGCAUUUGCUUCUUCCCGGAUAGGAUCACGAAGUGGUGCGGUGAGAUACGCCAAGUUCUCCGGAUGUUCCUCGGCAAGCUUUAACAG